UGAAGGAGUGACAAUCAAUCAAGUAAUUUCUGACUAAAUUGGGUAUGACUUGAUAACAAGCUCAUUCAACUUCAUUCUUCUAGUAGAAGAGCAAAGCUCAAGCUCCACUUUUGGACUGCUUCCAUUAUGACUGGAGCUCAAACAUUAGCUAGCUUGCAUAGAUUAUAAUAAACACCUGGCUUCAACUUAAGAGUCAACCUGUUCAUGGCAUUAAUGCUGAACUUGAACAGCAACAACUGAGCCUGGCUUGUGCUCACUCAUAUGACCCAGCAAAGCCUUCCUAACUGAAAGAUCUGUCAGGCAAGGCUUUCUGCAGCUCUAAUCAAAUCCACAUGCUUAUGUGAUAUUCAGUAAAUAUAGAGUAUAAAUAGUGCCGGUAAAACCAUCCAUAACCAAAAAGGUUUUGGCAGUAUAAGUUUGCAUUAACUUAACAAAAAAAAAAAUCACCUCACAAUCUAGAACACAUAUAGGAGAGUGUGCUGCUGUAAAUUAUUCAGCGUGCCUUUAAUAAAUCCAACAAUAUGAAACCUUGGCCCCAAAAAAAGAA
rnacentral:lncRNA from 1 species